GGCUCCAUAGUGUAGCGGUGAGCACGUCUGCUUUACACGCAGAAGGUCCUGGGUUCGCGCCCCGGGUGGAGCCG
rfam:Pteropus alecto contig59316, whole genome shotgun sequence.